GCUCUGGUGGAUUAGUGGCGAACGGGUGAGUAACACGUGAGCAACCUGCCCUGGACUCUGGGAUAAGCGCUGGAAACGGCGUCUAAUACUGGAUACGAGACGUGGCCGCAUGGUCAACGUUUGGAAAGAUUUUUCGGUCUGGGAUGGGCUCGCGGCCUAUCAGCUUGUUGGUGAGGUAAUGGCUCACCAAGGCGUCGACGGGUAGCCGGCCUGAGAGGGUGACCGGCCACACUGGGACUGAGACACGGCCCAGACUCCUACGGGAGGCAGCAGUGGGGAAUAUUGCACAAUGGGCGGAAGCCUGAUGCAGCAACGCCGCGUGAGGGAUGACGGCCUUCGGGUUGUAAACCUCUUUUAGCAGGGAAGAAGCGUGAGUGACGGUACCUGCAGAAAAAGCGCCGGCUAACUACGUGCCAGCAGCCGCGGUAAUACGUAGGGCGCAAGCGUUAUCCGGAAUUAUUGGGCGUAAAGAGCUCGUAGGCGGUUUGUCGCGUCUGCUGUGAAAUCCCGAGGCUCAACCUCGGGCCUGCAGUGGGUACGGGCAGACUAGAGUGCGGUAGGGGAGAUUGGAAUUCCUGGUGUAGCGGUGGAAUGCGCAGAUAUCAGGAGGAACACCGAUGGCGAAGGCAGAUCUCUGGGCCGUAACUGACGCUGAGGAGCGAAAGGGUGGGGAGCAAACAGGCUUAGAUACCCUGGUAGUCCACCCCGUAAACGUUGGGAACUAGUUGUGGGGUCCUUUCCACGGAUUCCGUGACGCAGCUAACGCAUUAAGUUCCCCGCCUGGGGAGUACGGCCGCAAGGCUAAAACUCAAAGGAAUUGACGGGGACCCGCACAAGCGGCGGAGCAUGCGGAUUAAUUCGAUGCAACGCG
rnacentral:rRNA from 1 species